rnacentral:rRNA from 1 species
GAACUGAAACAUCUAAGUACCCGUAGGAGAAGAAAAUAAGAAUGAUUCCCGGAGUAGCGGCGAGCGAAACGGGAGGAGCCCAAACCAUCAAUGUGAUGGGGUUGAAGGACUGCGAGAUGGCAAGAGCGAGGAUAGCAGAAAACGAUUGGAAGCGUUGCCGAAGAGGGUGCAAGCCCCGUAAGCGAAAUCCGAGUGAAGCCUAGCAGGAUCCUGAGUACGGCGAGACACGAGGAAUCUUGUCGGAAGCAGGCGGGACCAUCCGCCAAGGCUAAAUAUAAGCGAGUGAGCGAUAGUGAACCAGUACCGUGAGG